rnacentral:rRNA from 1 species
ACAGCAGUCGCCACGGGAAAACCAGCUCUCCGAGUGGUGUGGACGUUUAUUGGGCCUAAAGCAUCCGUAGCUGGCUGAACAAGUCCCCUGUUAAACCCACCGAUUUAAUCGUUGGCGUGCGGGGGAUACUGCUUGGCUAGGGGACGAGAGAGGCAGACGGUAUUCCCGGGGUAGGGGUGAAAUCCUAUAAUCCCGAGAAGACCACCAGUGGCGAAGGCUGUCUGCUAGAACGCGCCCGACGGUGAGGGAUGAAAGCUGGGGGAGCGAACCGGAUUAGAUACCCCCGUAGUCCCUGUCUCUUAUAC